GAUGAACGCUGGCGGCGUGCCUAAUACAUGCAAGUCGAGCGAACGGACGAGAAGCUUGCUUCUCUGAUGUUAGCGGCGGACGGGUGAGUAACACGUGGAUAACCUACCUAUAAGACUGGGAUAACUUCUGGAAACCGGAGCUAAUACCGGAUAAUAUUUUGAACCGCAUGGUUCAAAAGUGAAAGACGGUCUUGCUGUCACUUAUAGAUGGAUCCGCGCUGCAUUAGCUAGUUGGUAAGGUAACGGCUUACCAAGGCAACGAUGCAUAGCCGACCUGAGAGGGUGAUGGGCCACACUGGAACUGAGACACGGUCCAGACUCCUACGGGAGGCAGCAGUAGGGAAUCUUCCGCAAUGGGCGAAAGGCUGACGGAGCAACGCCGCGUGAGUGAUGAAGGUCUUCGGAUCGUAAAACUCUGUUAUUAGGGAAGAACAGAUGUGUAAGUAACUGUGCACAUCUUGACGGUACCUAAUCAGAAAGCCACGGCUAACUACGUG
rnacentral:rRNA from 1 species